rnacentral:lncRNA from 1 species
ACCAUAUGAGUCUGGUGGCUAGCACAUGGGUAGUUUGCUUGGCUUAAGGCAAAAAGCUAUGAAAUGAAGUAGUGGGAAAGAGAACUAAUUAAAUUUAUGUGUUAUAUUUCCCUCGUUAGUACACACCUUUUUUAUGGCAAAAAUCCUUGUUUACUUUUGUCAUCCUAUCAAAAAUGACACAUAAUCAUCUCUCAAAAUUUGUUUAAUGAAUAAAUAAACUAUAUUAUAUGUUACUUUUUCCUCUAAACCAUCAAUGCACUGUGUAGACCUAACUAUAUCCUAGAAGCUCAGAAAUCAAGGUAAACAUGAAGUUGAACAGUU